rnacentral:rRNA from 1 species
AUUGAACGCUGGCGGAAUGCUUUACACAUGCAAGUCGAACGGCAGCACGGACUUCGGUCUGGUGGCGAGUGGCGAACAGGUGAGUAAUGUAUCGGAACGUGCCCAGUCGUGGGGGAUAACGUAGUGAAAAUUACGCUAAUACCGCAUACGAUCUAUGGAUGAAAGCGGGGGAUCGCAAGACCUCGCGCGAUUGGAGCGGCCGAUAUCAGAUUAGGUAGUUGGUGGGGUAAAGGCCCACCAAGCCAACGAUCUGUAGCUGGUCUGAGAGGACGACCAGCCACACUGGAACUGAGACACGGACCAGACUCCUACGGGAGGCAGCAGUGGGGAAUUUUGGACAAUGGGCGAAAGCCUGAUCCAGCCAUUCCGCGUGCAGGAUGAAGGCCCUCGGGUUGUAAACUGCUUUUGUACAGAACGAAAAGGUUUCUACUAAUACUAGGAGCUCAUGACGGUACUGUAAGAAUAAGCACCGGCUAACUACGUGCCAGCCGCCGCAGUAA